AAAGAAAACUUGGUUCAGGAGGCUCCAGACAGCUGAACCUGUGGAGGCGCCUGGAGGGUGGAUCUUCCAGAAAGCACAUGGCAGCUCCACACCCCUUCCCACAUGACUUGCCCUAUGCAUCUCUUCCAUCUGGCUGCUCAUCUGUAUCCUUUAUCAUAUCCUUUAAAAGAAACUGGUAAAUGUAAAGUUUCUACCAUUUCAAUUCCUUGUGGAACUCAAUCUGUUUUCUUAACUGAUGCAAAAAAGACCACUUAAAGGAACAUUAGACAGCACUUCAGCACGACGCUUGGGGGCCAUUUUAAACAGCAAAAUCACUAAUAAAAAGCAUAAAAAUGGGAAAAACGUGACACUAAAUAGACUGCGAAAAGGACACUUGUUUACAAUGAGAGCUGGAGCAAGAAGGCAGAAUGGAGCCUGGUUUUGACCUCAGCUAAGAACAAGCACAUCGGGCUAAAGUUUUUGAAGCUCUGGGCAUGUCAACGAAUGACUGGCAAAAGA